GUUCCAGCAGCAGCUUUGUUUGGACCACUUAGCGGUUCAGCGCCCGUUCACUGGUCCGGCCUUUUCCUCGCUGAAGGACGCUGUGAGACGCCUGCUGCCGUACCACACCUGCUCUGGUCACCUGCCCACUCAGGGUGACUUCAAUUUAGGUCAGUAAGCGUUGUUUCAGAUGUAUUGCUGGUGCCCAUCCUAUGUUAAAAAAAACAACAACUGAGGUGUUAUAUUUUUGGGUUAUUCGUCAUUAUGUCAUCCAACCACAUCUCUGGGCUGCUUUCAAUCAUGUCAUCACAGCUGAAAACAAGGAAAUUUCAGUUGCUUAUGACUCUGGACAGACGUGAAUAUGAACCUCAACUUGACUGAGAAUUAAUUAACUAUCACAAUAUGUGCUUAUCAAUAAAAUAAUAAUUUCAGCUGUAAAUCCUCCAACAAUAGUUUAAGUUAAACAAUUCUAAAAGAUUUAUAAAUCCCACAUUAGUAAUGAUUUUUUAUUAAAUAAAUUAACGUGAUGAUGUUUCUGUUCUCACAGUGGACCAGGAGUUUGACACUGUGUCUGGUUUCCUACUAAAACGCACCAAGGACAUGGUCAACAAAUACAGGCAGCUACUGGUUAGAGAAACACAGGUGAGACAGUGCACUGCUUUCUUUUACGAGUGCUGUGUUUAUGUAGCUUGUCUUUGAAAAUCGAAAUAGUGUCUGAAUUCAGAGGAUAGAUUUUCUCUACAAUUCCAACUUGCUUUAAAAUAUAUCUAACAAAAUCAAGCGUUAGAAACAAUUACCAAUAUCAUGGUACGUGUAAAGAAAUGCAAACCUACUCAUUUCAGUCUGGAUCAAAAACAUUACGGUACAUUAAAAUGAACAGGUUAGAUUCAGAAACCUUAUUCUAGCCUAAGGUUGAGAUGAUGUGUUGCAGUUUUUCUCUAGAGAACCUGUCUUUCAAACACGAGCAGACACAACAAGCUGUGUGAGCUUAUGAACUUGUUUCCGCAGCAGGAGAGUCCGUCAGCAGAGAUGGUGAUGCUGGAGCGUCUCUUCCUUCAGGCUGAGCGAUACGCUUUAGCGGAGGACAGACGGAGAGCCCGCAGAGAUCCAGAAUCCUUCAUGAUGGCCUUGGCUACAUCAGCGUCUUCCCCUCAUGGUGCACAGUCCUCUGGCAGCCCCUCUUCUCCACCAGCCUGGACCAGACUGUCCGACCGGCCUCCAGGACUGAAGACGUACCGCUCCAGCUCCCGGGGGGCUCUCAGGCUGACCAUCAAGCAGGAGUCUGGCUCUCGUAAGGUGGUCCACAACUCUGCGUGUGAACCGGGACUUAAGAGGGACCACACGGGGCAGCUGACCAACGGUGGCGGAGCUGUGAGUGAACGUCACGGCCAGGCAUCCAACGGAGCACCCCAGCAUCCUCAGUGUGAUGAGGAGAUCUCUAAUGGAGCUCUGCCUGGUAACACAGCAGAGGAAGUCCCACAGACAGCACCUGAUUCCAAAAUAAAAGCCCCAACUCUUUCUAUGCCAGGACCAGAGGCUGCUUGCUUUGAGUUGCCACCCAGAGAUGUCAGCGCCCCAAAACUUAAAUGUUACAGGCUGGAUGCAUCCCCUCCGUUGGAGCAGCAGUUCAGCCCACCACCUCCACCCCUCCAAGAGGACAACAUGCUCAGUGAACAUCUACAGAGUGCCAUCGACAGCAUCCUAGAGCUCCAGCGCCUGCAGGGCCCCUCUGCAGGCUCAACCAGAGCUGCAUCUGGCCCUUCACUGGACCAGGCUGUCACCAGCAUCCUGGAGGGACACCUUUGAGGUAACGUGCUCUGACAGAUGUCCACCCAGAUACAAAACAUCCAUCUGAGGUGGGACAAAACAAAAGAAGGGGUACUCGACUUUUUAUCUGUUCCCAGAACUAAGAGUUCCCGGGUUUCAGAUUUCACUUUUAAUGAACUGAUUGUUUAAAAGAAAGGAGGAGGGAAAAAAUUAAGAGGCACUAUAAAGAGAUGCAUCCCAGACAACAGCACUAUCUAUAGUCCGAUAGAUGUUAGAUACUUCAUUUUGAUGUAUGUUUGUGGGGAAAAAAAAUCUAUUUGAAUAGGAGCUAUAUUGUUUCAGUGGUAGUUAAGUCAUUCAGAGGUUUACGACACUGGUGUAACCUUCAUCAGCAUAUAGUAUAUAAGUAAUAGUGAGGAUAACGAAAAUGUGGAGUAGACUGAGAUUAUUCAAUAGUUUUUUAUAAGAUUUCUUUCAAAAAAUGUGAAGUUUCUUUUGCAUAGUGCCAAGCUUCCAGGGUAUUUAUUUUGAUAAUCUGUGCCAAUUGUGUUUUCAGAUGAGUUGCAUUGAGAAAAGCAGUGAAUGUGCGACAAGUGUGUGAGUGAGUGUGUGUUUGUGUUUUUAUUUGAACUAGUUUGCGUGUAUCUAAAGAGAGAGUGUGAAAACAUUGCAUCCUGCGACGGGACAGUAAACUUAAAAUCCCGCAGGCUUCAUUGUCUCGGCUUAACGAAUGAAACUCCAAAGAAUUUGUGACUUGCUACAUCCUGAAUACACCAGCAAAUGUCCAUGUUGUGUCUCUUCCCACAAACUGGAGUCUGUCCUUGUUAUAGAAGAAAGAACGUGAGGGGGCACAGAAAAAAAUGUAGGCAGAGUCGUGCUUUUUUUUUUUUUUAGGUUCUUGGUCUUUGUUGGUGUUUAUGCUGGAGUCUGACUGUGACGUAUGUCUAGUUUUGUCUGUUUUUAGAGACAGGAAUGGUUUUCCAUACUUUAUGUAUUAACACGCAAGCAAUAAUGAGUUUGGGUUGUUUGGAGCGGUGGUGGUGCAGUGAGGAGGAGGGAGAGGUUUGCCUGAGUUUUGCUUAUUGUCAUCAUUGAAUGAAAACCAAGUUGGAUUUUCAGGAAUGACAGACCCUUAUUGUCAUCAAAGCCUGUGUUAUUUAGAUAAUGUGUUUGUCAUGUUUUAAGGGCUUGAGGGUCUCUUAGUGACAAAUGACCACAAAAACGUCCCGUUUAGGAGAAAAACACCAAAACUGCAGUUGUUUUUCCACAACAGCCACUGUACAGAACUUGAGCCUCUCUGCAUCAUCAAACAGCCUUUGACCAAAAACUAAAGGGAUUGUCCACUUCACAUUUUAACAUUUUAAGGUCGACUUUUCCUUAUUUAUUAAAUUAUUGGUCUGUAGCCUGCUGUAUUAAGCUGAAAAUUUACUUUCACACAGCCAUUGUGGAGCAAUAUUAUUUUUGCAACAUGUUAUGUUAUUGUGACAAUCUUAUUAGUCUGUGAAGAUGUAAAUUCUGUUCAUAUGAAAUAUGUGAGAGUCAUUUGUAUUGGUUGUACCACUCUCCAUGAAACAUGUGCAAAAUACUCCUCGUAGAUGGAGUUUACUUUGAAGGUCAAAAAGUUAAACCAAUUGCUGUAAUGUGAAUUGAAAACAGGCUUCAAUAUUAAGCUUUUGAAGAUAAGUUAGAGAUCAAGGAUCGAUGUGUGAAUUGGAAAGGUUUAGAAUAUGCCUUAUUGUUAAUUCAGUGUACCUUGAUGGAUAUGGGAUCUGCAAAGAAAAAAUAAUGUGAUAGGUUUAUAUAUAUUUUUUUUAAAUGUAACAUCUGGUGUUCAGAAAUGUGAAAGUAACUUAAGAAACAUCCAGCGAUUUGGGGUUAAAUCAAACAUGCAUUCUCAUUUCUUCAAUUGCAUUAUUAUUUAACAAAAAGUUAAAUUGUCUUUUGCUGGAAUGAGUUAUAAUAUGCAGUAAUUUAGUAUUGAAACUCUCUGUGGUAGUACAGGUGGACACACCAAAGGAUUCAUAAAGAAACGAAUUGGGAAAUACGUCUGAGAGAUUGAUCCCACUCUUAGAAAUGUUUGGUAAAGAUAAAGCUACAGGCAGCAGCUGCUCAUCACAUGGAAUGAAAACAAGAGACAGAUAGUUUGGCUCUGUCCAGUGGAAACAAAAUCCACCUCUAGGGAUAAAACCCAAGGCUGAUAUGUACCAAAUGACACUGUCUAAUCUGCUGUUUUAUGAGUGAGUUUGCUUUAAAGUGAGUUUGUUUGGCUGUCUGGACCACAGGUAGCAGCUUUAAAAAGUAAUGUACAAUAUUUGUUUAAAUAGAAGCUGCCUAUACCUACAAGUCCAAAUUCAGUGGUGGAAGUAGUACCCACAUAUUCUACAUAAAAGUAUCAUUACUGCAGUGCAAAAACCUCCUGAAAGUACUCAUUACUCCUCAUAGAAUUUUAUAACAUUGUUAAUCACUAAUGUUGCAGCUGGUAAAGAUGGGACUAAUUUUAAUCACUUUAUGUGAUACGAGAUUGUUUAUACUUAAUAUCAACAUUAGGGUAUUAAGUUGUAUUGAAUGUAAAUGUAAAUCUAAAAAGUAAUGGAAGUUGUCAGAUGCAUUGCAUUUCCCUCUAAAGUACAGUUAGCUCAAAAUUAUACUAUUUUAUACUAAAUUAUAAGCACAAUACUUGAGUAAUUGUACUUCGUUCCACUGUUUAAAUUCAUGGUUACCUGUAAUAGCUGGAUGAGUAAAAUGCUUCACUAUGCUAGCUUAAAAGGUAAGUUCAGAAUUUGUUUCCCCCACCAAUCCAUAAAUUUAAAAUUAUUGAACUGUGACAACUGACUUUCCUCAGUUUCCAGUGUUCACAUCAAACUAAACUGGCUGCAGCUUUGUUUUCUCUGCAUAUUGAUGCGAGUGGUGUCAAUCUUCUCAUCUAACUGCAAGAAAGUGACGACUAUUUCCAAAAUUGUAUAUAAACAAAACAUUAUGAAAACUUUGUGUGUAUCCACCCUCAGAGGUUUCGCUAUAAUGCAGUAAAGAUGUCAGUGUCUUUCACACACAGGAUUGCACUCCUUAUCACCGCUAAACUUUUAAAAAGGGGAAUUCCACCAAAUUAUACUUAGUUUUUAUUUUACGUAUUUCCUAAAGUUUGUCAAAAGUUUUCUUUAAUUAGUCAAAUAAAAUAAAUUCAAGUCAACUUUGAUGGAAUCCCCUUAAGUGAAGCAGCCUCAUGUGCCAUUGUUAUUGUUGCCGUUUUGUCUGCAGUGUCAAACGCUGACCUUUAGAGAUAUGCUUACUUUUGUCAGCAUUUUAGGACAAACGCAUUACAUCUGCAUGUUGAGCCAUUUUGGUAUUUAUUUGUAAAUGUGUGCCAUUUAAUUUUUCUGACUGAACUGUGAAACCAGGGGAGCUCAUAACUUACACUAAUUCAACUUCAGAUACAAAACAUUUGACUGACAGAUUGUUCUGAUGCCAAAAUCAAGAGGCCUUAAUUCAGCAAAACUAGAUUGUAGAAAAAAAAACAACAAAAAAACAAAAAAAAAGUCAUUCCUGACAAAAAAAAUUAUCCAACUAAAGACUCCUUUGACCUGAAAGUCAUGAGUGAUUCAUAUAUGAAAUGUUAAGAAAACCACUUUUGUACUCAUUUUUACAGACUAUUUAUUAAACUGUGAUUUUGUAAAAAAUAAAAACAUUGAAUGUGGUUGUGUUUUUUUUUUUUUUUUUUUUAAAGAGCUGUAUGUAAAGAUGUUCACAAACUAAACAAGAUUAAUACAAACAUGACUUUUAUUUUCUUUGAUUCAUUCACAAUUUAGGAAAACUGCUUCAGAGCUUACGUCACAAAAAUACAAAGACAAAAGCAGAUGUUUUCAUAAUUUAAAUUUCCAUCUAUUGCAAAUAAAUUCAUCACGUUCAAAAUGUGAAAACCUGCCUUGCAAAGGAGGGUUUAUCAAUUUAUUUUAAAUGUUCCUAAUUGCAUCCGAGUUGGCACCUUUACUUACUUACUGUGCAGUUUGGAUUCUGUAAGAACGACGUCGUAAUGAAACUGCUGUUACAUGAAAUGAGGUCGUGUCCUGAUGCUGUGACAAGUCUCCAGUCGGGUUGGGGAUUAAGAGGCACAUUAAAACAUGAGCCAUGGAGAUGUCCCAACCAUGAGGAGAUUCAGCAGCAGGACACAAACACCAGGAGUUUAAAGGAUCAACUGAACAAGUCAAAUCUACUCUGCUUCAAAUCGUCUUUUGCUGCAGAAGAAAACAAGUUUUCCUUGAAACCAAACUCUUCUUUAAUAAGAAGAAACAAGGGAAAAGAUGAAGUUUGACUUAAUGGGAAACUCAUCCUUCGUCUACUGACUCAAAACAGAUUGUGUGAGAGUGCCAAAUAAUUUAAGGUCAUAUUAAAAUGACCCUCUCUAUGCAAAGCUAUUUUUUUCCUUCUCAGGCUGAUGAGCUGCUAACCUGCUGGGGGGACAGGGGGUUAUAUUUUAGGGCAAAUUAAGAGCAGACAGCAGCUUUUUCUAAAUUGGGUUCUUGUAUUUCAUUAUCUUAAUUCUUUUCAUAAAUAAUUAUACAUAAUUCAUAAUAAAAAAGCAGUGUCCAUGUGCAAUUACAAGACAAAGUCAGUGUUUUUCAGAUUUAGUUUAGAAAAAGUCUCUGGUUAAGUUCACUCAGAGUCCAGGUGACAAUCUAGCAGCAUCUCACUGGCACUCAGGUCCACCGCGUCAUCAAAAAUAGAGUGAAUCAUCAUCUCCCAUCCAUCAUAAAUCGAGUUUUCACUCACACACCCAUGGCCUCAUUAACACCAGUGUGGGGACUUGACAGUCGCCACAUGCUGGUAACACUUUGGUCCCGGCUGGUAGAUCAGUGCAUUCAUCCGCUCACUAUAACGCGAUCUGGCUCGUUUAAAAUUACAUAGUGGCUUUGAAAGUUUUAAAUCCAUCCAGAACUUUGACCACUGA
ensembl:lncRNA